UUCAAUCAUACAUUCAUCUGACUAAAGUAGAGAUUACACAAUUAUAGUAAUUAGUGAAAAUUAAAUUACAAUCCCUAUGGGUUCGACACUCUAUGUUAAUACUAUAUUAUAAAAUUUGACACCGUACACUUGCGGUAUAAAUCACGUUGUGUAAUCUAGUCACAAAAUGAUCGAAUUUUCUAGUCACAAAAUGAUCGAAUUUGAAGGUCACAAACUAAUAGUCAAUCACAGCAAACCAAAUAGUUGGUCACAAAUACCAGACACCCAAUCCCGGUCCAUCACAAUCUUGGUCACAAAUACUAUCUCGGCAACAAUACCAUCACAGCCACCGCCAACAACACCGCCACUACCAUGAAAAACACCACCACUCCAAAAACCGACAAACCUAACUAAAAUACCUCGUCAUUAGGCUACCCAACUACCAACAAUGACAGGGAUCGAACAAUAAAAGUACAAUAGGUCGAUUAGCCACAUUGGUACACCACUACCAUCGUCGUCGGCCGCUACCAUUACCACACCGCAUUCUAACUCAAAAAUCGCAAGAAAAAUCACCACAAACCGCUAUAGAAGAACACAAAACUGCUACAGCGGUGACGAGCCUAUCGCUGCGUACUGCGUCGUGAUUUAGAUUAGAUUAGUGGCACAUAGAGUGCCGAGUGAGCCAAGCGUCGUGGCUCAAACUCCGAUUUGAGCAUCACUGCUCCAUUUUCACACAAGCGCCGCUCCGAUGGAAAAAGAGAAAAUGAUGUACAUACAAGGUGCUACUCCAAUGGUCAGAGUAGGGGCUAUCUAACAGAGGCAACGCUCCAGUGAAAGAAAGAAAAUAUGGUGGAGAGGCACUGUAGAGAGAGCAUUGUGAAGAUAGAGAAAAGGGGAAGGAGAAUGA
rnacentral:lncRNA from 1 species